AAUAGUAUUUCUAUUAUUUACUUGAAGUCGUAAUUAAUUUUCGACUUAUAAAACGAGUUAUAAAAUAUGUAAUUUAUAGAGAGUUAUAACGAAGCUUCGUUAUAUGGGAACCCGAAAUUAGUAUUACAAAUACAGAAUAAGGAUUUUAUUCAUCACAUUCAUCUAGCACCUACACAUACUUUUCAUUUCCACAUCCAUCUUACUCUUAAAUAAAUUGAUGGUGUUGGAAACACUCAUCAUAUGCCAACCAUUCCACUAAAUAAAGAGAUUCUUUACACUUUCUCCAGAUCAGCCCAUUCCUUUUGCCGGCCAUCUUCUACACCUUUAACAUCUCAACAUGCAACUUACUUUUAUUUAACCAAAAUCAGCAGCCAACAUUCCUCCCAUUCCUCCUUAGUUCUUCAAUAGCCAAAGAAGAGAUUGACUUCAUUCAAAGCUCUUACAGUAAACCUCAAGAGAUUCCAGCUAGACACCAAAUACCAGCUACAUCGAGGUCCGGGCGACAGAAAGUGAAGCAGAAGAAGAAACGACUCCACGCCAGCUUUAAGAACAAUUGAGGUUGAGCAGGCGAUGGAAUGGAUCGGUGUUGAGCGGAUUUCCCUUUUGAUGUUUAUGUAAUGAAACCUUGAGUAUGCAUCUCCAUAUGCAUAACUCACACGUUUUUCCGCUGCAAACACUCUGAAUUUGUUAUCGUAUUGUGGAACUUAUUACUCCUUCAUUUUGUUUAACUUUCAUUUGGGGUUUAGUCGUUAUGGCUGGCUCAUUUGUUAAUUACCCAAGUGGUUAUAUAUAUAUAUACCACUAGUUUGUUGUUAUUAAUGUUGGUUAUUUAGUAAAUCCCUUUUAAAUUU